UUAUCAGAACUGUAGGGACGCAUGUGGAAAGCACGGGCCGGGAAUGGAAAGACCGGUACAAGCGGGGUAGGUGUACAAUAGGCAAAUCCGUUGUAUAAUCCGAAGACGUGAUGUGGAGCGAAAUAAAGUAGUGAAGCGUGUGAGCCAUGUGCCGAGAAAAGCUGCUAUUGUGUAAUGCGUGCCCGUACCGUAAACCGACACAGGUGGAUGAGGAGAGAAUCCUAAGGCCGGCGGAAGAAGCAUUGUUAAGGAAUUCGGCAAAAUGACCCCGUAACUUCGGGAGAAGGGGUACCUGCGAGAGCAGGCCGCAGAGAAUAGGCUCAAGCAACUGUUUAGCAAAAACACAGGUCUAUGCGAAACCGAAAGGUGAAGUAUAUGGGCUGACGCCUGCCCGGUGCUGGAAGGUUAAGAGGAGAGGUUAGCUUCGGCGAAGCUUUGAAUUUAAGCCCCAGUAAACGGCGGCCGUAACUAUAACGGUCCUAAGGUAGCGAAAUUCCUUGUCGGGUAAGUUCCGACCCGCACGAAAGGCGUAAUGAUUUGAGCACUGUCUCGACAAUGCAUCCGGUGAAAUUGAAGUACCAGUGAAGAUGCUGGUUACCCGCGCCAGGACGGAAAGACCCCAUGGAGCUUUACUCCAGUUUGAUACUGGGAUUCGGUACUGCAUGUACAGGAUAGGUGGGAGACGAAGAAGGAUGGACGCCAGUCUGUCCGGAGUCGCUGUUGGGAUACCACCCCUGUAGUACUGGGUUUCUAACCAGUUGCCAUGAACUGGCAAUGGGACAAUGUCAGGCGGGGAGUUUGACUGGGGCGGUCGCCUCCGAAAGGGUAUCGGAGGCGCUCAAAGGUCCCCUCAGAAUGGUUGGAAACCAUUUUGAAAAGUGCAAAGGCAGAAGGGAGCUUGACUGCGACACCGACGGGUGGAGCAGGUACGAAAGUAGGACUUAGUGAUCCGGUGGUAUAAAGUGGGAUUGCCAUCGCUCAACGGAUAAAAGCUACCCUGGGAUAACAGGCUUAUCACUCCCAAGAGUUCACAUCGACGGAGUGGUUUGGCACCUCGAUGUCGGCUCAUCGCAUCCUGGGGCUGUAGCAGGUCCCAAGCGUUGGGCUGUUCGCCCAUUAAAGCGGUACGCGAGCUGGGUUCAGAACGUCGUGAGACAGUUCGGUCCCUAUCCGGCGCGGGCGGAGGAUAUUUGAGAGGAGCUGUCCUUAGUACGAGAGGACCGGGAUGGACGGACCACUGGUGUAUCUGUUGUCGACCAACGGCAUGGCAGAGUAGCCAAGUCUGGAAGGGAUAAACGCUGAAGGCAUCUAAGCGUGAAGCCCCCCUCAAGAUGAGAUAUCCCUCCUUCGGGAGUAAGACCCCUUGAAGACUACAAGGUAGAUAGGGCAGAGGUGGAAGCAUGGCAACAUGUGGAGCUGACUGUUACUAAUAGGUCGAGGGCUUAAU
rnacentral:rRNA from 1 species